GAUGAAAGAACGUAGCGAAAUGCGAUAAGUAAUGUGAAUUGCAGAAUUCAGUGAAUCAUCGAAUCUUUGAACGCACAUUGCGCCCGCCAGUAUUCUGGCGGGCAUGCCUGUCCGAGCGUCAUUUCAACCAUCAAGCCCCGGGCUUGUGUUGGGGACCUGCGUCCGACGCAGGCCCUGAAAACCAGUGGCGGGCUCGCUGUCCACACCGAGCGUAGUAACUAACCUCGCUAUGGAGUGGCGCGGGCGCCUGCCGUAAAACCCCCAAUUUCACAAGGUUGACCUCGGAUCAGGUAGGAAUACCCGCUGAACUUAAGCAUAUCAAUAAGCGGAGGA
rnacentral:misc_RNA from 1 species